rnacentral:tRNA from 1 species
GGCCCCUUGGUCAAGCGGUUAAGACAUCGCCCUUUCACGGCGGUAACAUGGGUUCAAAUCCCGUAGGGGUCA